rnacentral:tRNA from 1 species
GGUGGCUCAGUGUUAGAGCACUUGCCUUGCAUGCAUGAGACCCUGGGUUCGAUUCCUCAGCACCA